AUUGAAAAAAAUAAAAACUAGCAAGAAACAACGAGUCCGAAGUAUCAGCAUGUUACUAAUGUAGUGUACACAGUUUGCACACCUGUUUUGAUUUUUUCUGUCGUUUACUAACCUAUCUUGCCGAGUACGUACAUACAAGGAUAAAAUUUCGCGUGAAAGCCGUGACUAUCGAAGUAUACGUAAAUUGUACAUACAUAUUUCGUGUUUAGUUCUUCGUUUCGAUGUAUCGGCUGUUUUGAACGACUUUCAGUCGUUUUAACAGCGCGAUUCUUAUUACAAAUCGAUUAAUCGCGAUUCCACGAUUCAUCACGUUCGUGCCGUAAGAAGCAUUAAGGUUAGUAACGUCGUGCGAUCUGGGUUGCCCUAGCAACGAAAAAAAAACGCGCGAAUAACACCCAUACUUGCUGCACAGUUCUCGCGAUUCCAAUACGCUUCGUGCCGUUUUUAUUGCUUAUGAAACUUCUCGAUAGUCUUUACGAAGCUUCCUACCACUACGAUAAUCAAGUGAAAUAUAAAGCUUGCAUUAAAAAAUCAAAAUAAAGAGAAAAGCAAGCCUUUAUCAAUAUACGUUUGUACUUUACAAAACAGAUGCUUUGAAACAAAGAAAAGUGCACGACCAGAGUUCCUGUAGGAUCACCUUAUAUAUACAUAUAGGUUAUACAUUAACACGCAUGAAUAUAGUAAAGGCAUAGAUGAAGGUGAGUCAUAGUCAAAGGAUGCUUCGCAGAUGGUUCAUGCAACAGAUAAGGCUCGUUAAAGACAACUACUGGAGCAAUUUAAAUAAUAAUCGUAGAUGGCAUGAAUAGUCAAAGAUGAAAAAGAUAUUUUCUCUUAGUAAAAAUAGCUACUGGGAAAUCGUUAGACAAAAGGUUAACGUUCGAAGUUGAAUAAUUAAUUGUAAUGAAGUAUGUGCAUAGAAGUCAGAAACGUACAAGAUCAAAGUAAGAACUACACACGGAGGAAUUUUCAUGAAACAUUGAUGUAUCUAUGCAGGUUGGUCGCUAGUAAAUACGAUUCAUUGUUGAGCCGAUAAAUAGGUUAGAAUAUCAACAAUUUCUCAUUACGUAAAAAGUCACUGGCUCAGCGAAUCCUAUCCUAAUCUGAGACGAUCGCGCGCACUGCGGUUCUUCGGUUCCCACAAUCUGUCCAGCGUAUUAUGAUUAUCCCGCUGUCGGUCACCGUGCCGACUUUCAGAACACACGAAAAAAUGUCGGAUUCGAUGCGAGACGAGCGGCAGCUAUAUGUGCUUUUAACUCCUUGUUCACCUUUGACUUUCUCUUAUGAAGAAAAAGAGAAUAUUCUUGUUAAAAAUUCAACUGGAAAUAUUGGAAAUACAGUAGCGUGCAGGUUAUAUAGCGCGGUGAAAGAAGAAUUUGCUUCGCGUUAUUGCGCGUUGUCACGCUACGUUUAAUAUUAUUUUUCUAUUGAGGUUAAGAGGUGUAUCAUGAGUGGAAUUGUUUUUAUGCGAACUGACUGACAGUCGAAAUAAACCUAUGCUUGUCGUUCAAUCUAAAUAGACUUUUGCCGGUUAAAGUAGAUCAUGGAUAUUUUGUACGGCAAAUCUAAUAUGUAACUUACGUUUCAAAGUAACGAAUUCAAAGUAAAAUGUUAUUUUUCGUUAACUCUUCCAAAGUGACAAUGAACUUAGUUUAAAUAGUGUCCACGAAAGAACAGUCGUAGUAUGUGUAUAAGUCGUAGUAAGUAUAUUAAUAGAUUUUUCGUAACUUUUAUAAAGGGACCUCUAUAUCUAUUAUUUUCUUUCACAACGUUGCAACUAAUAUAAAGAUCACUAAGAUUUCAGAAAUAUCUAAUAAUCUUGAAGUUUAUAAACUCAGAGAAGAGAUUACAAUGAAAAUGCUUCUUGUUCGGAUGCUUCAACCAUAAUCCAUCACAAGCAUGACUCAAUAUUAUAAGACAAGGCUAAUUUUACUUUAGCGAGGUUAUUCUUCCGUCUUUUAAGCCAGCGAUAAUGGUUAUGGUAACCGGAUCGGUUGCCGGCGCGAUAGCCUUGAGAGAGGGUGCGUUUCACGAGGUGCCCGCAUAGUACGGCGCGUGUACUUCU
rnacentral:lncRNA from 1 species